GGCGGCGUGGUGUAAUGGCUAACACAUCAGUCCGGUGACUUAAGAUGCUGGUUCGCUCCCAGCCGCCUUUU